UACAGAGGGUGCAAGCGUUGUUCGGAAUUAUUGGGCGUAAAGGGCUCGUAGGCGGUUUGUCGCGUCGGGUGUGAAAUCCACUGGCUUAACUGGUGGCUUGCUUUCGAUACGGGCAGACUGGAGGUAUGCAGGGGAGAACGGAAUUCCUGGUGUAGCGGUGAAAUGCGCAGAUAUCAGGAGGAACACCGGUGGCGAAGGCGGUUCUCUGGGCCGAUAUUGACGCUGAGGAGCGAAAGCGUGGGGAGCGAACAGG
rnacentral:rRNA from 1 species